rnacentral:tRNA from 1 species
GCCGCGGUGGCGGAACUGGAAUACGCGCAUGCCUUAGGAGCAUGUUCCGAAAGGAUUGAGAGUUCAAAUCUCUCCCGCGGCA